AUAAUAUUCAAGAUAAUAACCAAAAACAGCAAAAUUUCCUUAAAAUGACUAAUUCAGGGGCAGCAACCCAACAACGGGUUAUCCGAUUCAUCUGAAAAUUUCAGGGCAGAUAGAUCUUCACCUGUUUAACAAUUCUACCACAUGUCAGAUUUGCUCUAAAUGCUUUGGUUUUUGAGUUAUAAGCCAAAAACUGCAUUUUACCCCUAUGUUCUAUUUUUAGCCAUGGCGGCCAUCUUGGAGGGUUGGCCGGGUCACUGGACACAUUUUUUAAACUAGAUACCC
rnacentral:lncRNA from 1 species